rnacentral:misc_RNA from 1 species
GAUGAAGAACGUAGCGAAAUGCGAUACGUAAUGUGAAUUGCAGAAUUCAGUGAAUCAUCGAGUCUUUGAACGCACAUUGCGCCCCCUGGUAUUCCGGGGGGCAUGCCUGUCCGAGCGUCAUUGCUGCCCUCAAGCACGGCUUGUGUGUUGGGCCUCCGUCCUCCUCCCGGGGGACGGGCCCGAAAGGCAGCGGCGGCACCGCGUCCGGUCCUCGAGCGUAUGGGGCUUCGUCACCCGCUCUUGUAGGCCCGGCCGGCGCUUGCCGACACAUCAAUCUUUUUUCCAGGUUGACCUCGGAUCAGGUAGGGAUACCCGCUGAACUUAAGCAUAUCAAUAGCGGGGA